UUUGUCGUAUGUAAGAACAAUGACAAAAAAGUGUGCUUAUCAUAUUCGCGAAGCAAGCUGACGCUGCAUUCGACUCACGACGGUGAUGGUAAUUCGCAGGUCGGAAUAUAUUUUCCUCUGCAAAAUGUAGCGUCAGUGGUCUAGAUUUAACGUUCACCUCGCCAACCUUCGGGGUCGGGGGUUCGAAUCCAGCCUCCGCCCUGCGUGCUCGGAGUUUGCACGGUCUCCCCGUGCUCUCAGGGGUUUUCUCCAGGUACUCCGGUUUCCUCCCCCGGUCCAAACACAUGCGCUGCAGGCUGUUUGGCAUUUCUAAAUCGUCCGUAUCGUUUGAACGGGUGUGCGAUUGCACCCCGCCUUGUGUCCCGAGUUCCCCUGGGAUAGCCUCCGGGUUCCCCCGCAACCCUGUGUAGCAUAAGUGGUACGGAAAAAUGGAUGGAUGGACGCAAGCGCUGCUUUGUUUCGUUCUGAUGAUGUGAGUUUCAACAGUAUCAAACAAACAAGCAAAACAGUCUGGCACGUCAACUAAGCAAAAGGUAGCUGAGGCUUGAAUUAAGAGGUAUUUUAGGUAUUUAGAACAUUCUGGUGUCCGGAAAUUACUAAACUGCUGGCCCUUCAUGCUGUUAAAAUAUGCAAAGUGAAUGAUAAACCAAGCACAGGUGAGUGCACUACCUGCUCUCGGCCACACGAGGGCGCCAGUGUCACACGUUACAGGCCGCAUCCCAACCCGCACACCCUACAUACACAGUGUCAAUAACGUCUGCCCUGACACAUUAUUUAGUGCGCUAAUUUGUGGUUAUACAUUUAUUUCACAUCACUGCGUCGGUUAUGUUCCUAAAAUCUCCACACAGAAUACAUAAGCCAUUAUUUCAUACGCUACGUAGUGCACUUAUAUAAAUAUCACAGAGUUAUUUGGGAUACAGCCCAUGUGUACGUGAAAAUCAUAACAGGGAUAACAUAAGAGUAACAAAAGUGACAUAAGACGUGAUGAUAACAGGGUCGACAUCAGAGUAACAGGGUUGUCAUAAGGGUAACAGCACAAGAUAACAGUUGAGAAAGGGGUAAUGGGAUUGGCAUGAGGGUAACAUAGUUGUCUUAAGGGUAACGGAUGAUAUAAGGGUAACAGGGAUGAUAUAAGGGUAACAGGGUUUACAUGAGAGUAAUAGUGUUGAGAAAUGGAUAAUUGACAUGAGGGUAAAAGUGUUGUCAUAAAGGUAACAGGGUUACACGAAAUAACCUUUUUUCUCUAAACUUCACUUAUCAUAUAUUCCUGAAUUAAAAAGAAUAAAAAUUCUAAAGGAAAAAUUCCAGAAUCUGGUGUAAAACCAUCACAUUAAUUUGAAUUUCUUUCCUUUUCUGCUUUUAAUCGCUUUCUCGUCAUUGAGUCGUAUCACUUACGUCAAUCUGUUACUACGAGCCAAAUAAAAUAUCACUCAUAGACACACUAAUGCCCAUAAAAGAGCCGAAUUGGAACUCAGAAACUCCGGGAACUGCGUGUACCGAAUCCUGGAGCACUGACAGUUGCAGAAAAAUAUUCCUGAGAGAGAGAGAGGGGGGAAUUAUGGGAUGGGAUGUGAAUUAUGGGUAGAAUGAGUUCAUUGUGUUGUGCCGUACGCGUGUAUAGGCUUGUUGUCUUGAGCUUGCCCCGUGUCAGACCUUUGCCGCCUCUUUGCCUUUUCCUGCGACGCCUCUUCCUGAUUGGCCGGUGCAUGAAGCGGGGCCCCGUUUACGUAAACAGGCGGUGCUGGGCGCUUCUGAGGGCCAAAGGUCGGCCUCCCGCUGCUGUUCAUCAGACUCUGCGCUAUUGUUUCGUUCUCUCUCUCUGCGUUGUGCGAAUCCUCCCCUCAGCAGCCGCGCUGACACGCUUCCCUCCAAGCGCUGCCCAAGAGACGCCGUAAAUUAUCUGAAUCUCAGCACACGGCGACGUGUUCUUGGAGUGGACACGGGGUUAAGGUUGGGGUCAGAAACUUGUCACGAUGUGAGUGGGAUCUCAAAGGAAGAACAUCGUGGAAAACAUCAUGAACGCAUGUGAUUGACAGGUUCCAACUACCUGUUUCAGUUAAAGACACUCCAUCACUAUUCACUCAACGUACAUUGUUGAACUUACAUACUUUACACAAGUGGAAAUUCUGCCCUUAAUUUAAAUACAGUGGUGCAUGAAAGGUAGAAUUUUCUAUUUACAGUGCCCUCCAUUAAUAUUGGCACCCUUGGUAAAUAUAAGCAAAGAAGGCUUUUGAUCUUUUGUUCAGAAAAUUCACAAAAACACUCAUGGAUAUCACUGGCGCUCAUGGAUAUCAAACACAACACAACACAGGUUUAUAAAAAAAAAAAAUAAAAAAAACCUUUUAGAAUACAGGGUAAAUAUAGGUGUGCAACAAUUAUUGGCCGAGUAUUUUUGUGAUUUUUCUUUUUUAUCAAAAUAUCAAAAGGUUAAACAAUAUAGACAAUUUUUCACGGCCGUCUUUGCUCAUAUUUACCAAGGAUGCCAAUAUUAAUGGAGGGCUCUGUAUCUGUAUAAAUAUGACCUAAAACAUCAUCAGAAUGAGACAAAAAUAUUUUUUGAGGAAAAUGAUCCAAUAUUGCAUAUCUGUGAACGGCAAAAGUAUGUGCACCUGUAGGAUUAUCAGGUUAAUUUGAAGGUGAAAUUAGAGUCAGGUGUUUUCAAUCAAUGGGCAGAUGAUCAGGUGUGAGUGAGUGAGCGCUUAGUUUUAUUUAAAGAACAGGGAUUUAUCAAGGUCAGAUCUUCCCAACACGUGUUUGUGGAAGUGUAUCACGGCACGAACAAAAGGAGAUUUCUGAGGACUUCAGAAAAAGAGUUGUUGAAGCUCAUCAGGCUGGAAAAGGUUACAAAACCAUCUCUAAAGAAUUUGGACUCCACCAAUCUACAGUCAGACAGAUUUUGUACAAAUGGAGAAAAUUCAAGACCAUUGUUCCCCUCCCCAGGAGUUGAGACCAACAAAGAUCUCUCCAAGAACAAGACGUGUAAUAGUCCACGAGGUCACAAAGGAACCCGGAGGAACUUCUAAGCAACUAAAGGCCUCUCUCACAUUGGCUAAUGUUAAUGUUCAUGAGUCCACCGUCAGGAGAACACUGAACAACAAUGGUGUGCAUGGCAGGGUUGCAAGGAGAAAGACACUGCUCUCCAAAAAGAACAUUACUGCUCUUCUGCAGUUUGCUAAAGAUCAUGUGGACAAGCCAGAAGGCUAUUGGAAACAUUUUAUGUGGAUGGAUUAGACCAAAAUAGAUUUUUGGCUUAAAUGAAAGCGUUAUGUUUGGAGAAAUGAAAACACUGCAUUCCAGCAUAAGAACCUUUUCCCAUCUGUGAAACAUGGUGGUGGUGUUAUCAAUGUUUGGGCCUGUUUUGCUGCAUCUCGGCCAGGACGACUCACCAUCAUUGAUGGAACAAUGAAUUGUGAAUGAUACCAGCGAACUCUAAAGGAAAAUAUCAGGACAUCUGUCCAUGAACUGAAUCUGAAGAGAAACUUCAGCAAGACAAUGAUCCUAAACACAUGAGUCGUUCUACCAAAGAAUUCUUAAAGAAGAAUAAAGUGAAUGUUUUGGAACGGCCAAGUCAAAGUUCUGAUCUUAAUCAAAUAGAAAUGUUGUGGAAGGACCUGAAGCAAGCAGUUCAUGUGAGGAAACACACCAACAUCCCAGAGUUGAAGCUGUUCUGUACUGAGGAACGGGAUAAAAUUCCUCCAAGCCGAUGUGCAGGACUGAUCAACAGUUACCCCAAACGUUUAUCUGCAGUUAUUACUGCACAAGGGGGUCACACCACAUACUGAAAACAAACGUUCACAGAUAUGUAAUCUUAGAUCAUUUCCUUCAAUAAAUAAACAACUAAGUAUAAUAUUUUUGUCUCAUUUGUUUAAUUGGGUUCUCUUUAUCUCCUUUUAGGACUUGCAUGAAAAUAUGAUGAUGUUUUAGGUCAAAUUUAUGCAGAAAAUUCGAAAGCGUUCAUAGACUUUCCAGCAACACUGUACUGUAGAUUGGUAUUACUUUGAUUUCUUGUAGAAAGGGCCAGCAUAUAAAAGACGCAAAUUCAAUGCUAGGUGGGAGAAAUUAGCGAAGCGGGCAGCUCAGAGGCCGCCGUGUUCCAGCUGGACGCAGGAUGAAAGAAUCAAACGCAGGGUUAUGAUUCUGUCAGUGGGUCUGAGGAAACUCAGCCACAUCCUUACUGACGUGCUGCGACCUUCUGAAGUCCCGGCGCUGUAUACCGAUGAUCGUUAACACACAUCAAAUAGCUGGGAGUCGGAAAAACCGAGCUAAACGGAGUGAAGCUGUCACCCACUUACACUAUCACAUGAGAAAUUAAAAAAAAACAACAAAAAAAAACACCUAAAUGUUACAGGAUUUGUUUAGGCUUUGCUGUUGAGACUGAAGUAGUCCAGAUGAUUUCUCUAUGAAAAUCUUGGAAUUAUAAGAAAGAUUUUCUUUGGAUGAGCGUUUGUGUGUUUUCAGAGCGUGUUCACUUCAAGACAGAGAAGAAAGCUGAGGCUGGUGAAGGAACUACCGUUUACAGCUGCCAUAACGUGGGUUAGGGUUAGGGGUUAGGGUUCGGGUUAGUGAGAACUUGUUCCACAGAUGUCCCAAAACAUAACAUGUCUCUAGCCUACAAUAUAAAUGGAUAAAAAGUCUGACGUGUUCUUUAAUAAAUAAAACAUUGUCAUUGUAAUUGCUGUGGUAUAAAGGAAUAGCACACUUCGCCAUGGAAACAUGAUCAAUUUCAAGAGUAACAAGAGCUCCACUCCAUCACAUUAUUUUUGUUUUUAUUCCCGAUAUAGCAUGUUGUUUUUUUUAACACCUGCACAAUCGUUUUAUAUGGAGACGUCGCCAGGUCGUGAUGGAUGUUCUCAGGAUCUCCGAAAGGUGCUGAUGAAGUGCGCCGAGCUUCCUCCUACGGGUUUGGUGGGAAAACUCACACUUCGUGCAAACACAAGGUGUUUUCUCUCUCUCUCUCUCUCUCCCUCUCAGUCUGCGCAGAACCGAGAUCGGAGGAGAGGAAAUGUAGAUGGGGAAAAUAAGAACAGGGGACAAGUGCAGAGAGGUGAAGUGUGGGACUUGAGCCUGUACACUGAAGAAUUAACUUGAUAGUGAGCUGACAUUAAAACAAUAGAGCUCAAUAGUGCUCACCUGGCAGUGUAUAUAUAUAGUGUGUGUGUGUGUGUGUG